rfam:Triticum urartu cultivar G1812 contig1154704, whole genome shotgun sequence.
UCCUACGAUGGCAUGGAAUCUCUGAGACCCGAUUAUUCUUAUGAUGGCAGCCAUAGGCAUGUCUCUGAGGAC